GUACGCGAGCUGGGUUCAGAACGUCGUGAGACAGUUCGGUCCCUAUCCGUCGCGGGCGUAGGAAAUUUGAGAGGAUCUGUCCUUAGUACGAGAGGACCGGGAUGGACAUACCGCUGGUGUACCAGUUGUUCUGCCAAGGGCAUCGCUGGGUAGCUAUGUAUGGAUGAGAUAAACGCUGAAAGCAUCUAAGUGCGAAACUCACCUCGAGAUAAGAUUUCCCAUUCCUUUAUGGAAGUAAGACCCCUGAGAGAUGAUCAGGUAGAUAGGAUGGAAGUGGAAGUACGGUGACGUAUGGAGCGGACCAUUACUAAUCGGUCGAGGACUUAACCAAG
rnacentral:rRNA from 2 species